CAAUUUUGAUAGAUCUGUCAGUGAUUACUUACUGUUUAUAUACCAAAUUCAGUGAUGAUGAAAUAAUAUACUUGAUUCUCUUUGUCGUGACUUACUCCCUACUGGAAAUAGCCAACAAGGAUUAGAGAGAGUGAAAAGGAAAUUAAAAGAAGAAUUUCAUAUGACUAACCUUGGUAGGGUAGAAUUAUAUAUGGGUAUGUACCUAUAUUCAACCAAAUUUGGUGAAAAAUGAGCUGGUCAUCAGUUAGUUUUGCAGUAAAUUACCUAAGUUGAUUUCAAUAUUGUGCAAUAGAGGAACACUGAAAAUACCUCAAAGGUUUUUUAAGAUACCUGCAAAGAGCUUCUGAGCUUAAUAACAAAGGCGACAAGAAAAGGCCCCAGUAUUGAUUGGUUCUGCUGAUUCUGAUUGGGCAAAUGACACCAAUAGGAAAUCAAAAUCAGAUUAUUUAUUUAAAUCAUUUGGAAAUCUAAUUUCUUGGACAACAAAGAAACACUUUCAACUACUGAAGCCUAGUCCUAUACAAAUAAUUGAGGACAAUCAGGACCAAACAUAUUGAUAUCAAAUAACACUUCAUCAUAGAAAAAGUAAUUAGCAGAGAAAUAGAGCUGAGAUAUGUGGAAGAAGCAGAUAUACUGAUAAAAGGACUGACAAAGGAUAAGUUUUUAGAGCUUCGAAGUCUAUUAUUAUUGAAUGAUGGACUUUUUCUUAUUCAGGCGAGGUGUUGAGCAGUGAAUAUGAGUUUAUGAAUAUUCAGUUUAUUUCAUUUAUACCUUUAUUUAUCUAGUUGUAUGUAGUUGCUGUUACGUUGAUAUAAAAGAGAAAAACAGUUUUGUCAA